GAUGAACGCUGGCGGCGUGCUUAACACAUGCAAGUCGAGCGAAGCACUUAAGUUUGAUUCUUCGGAUGAAGACUUUUGUGACUGAGCGGCGGACGGGUGAGUAACGCGUGGGUAACCUGCCUCAUACAGGGGGAUAACAGUUAGAAAUGACUGCUAAUACCGCAUAAGACCACGGUACCGCAUGGUACAGUGGUAAAAACUCCGGUGGUAUGAGAUGGACCCGCGUCUGAUUAGGUAGUUGGUGGGGUAACGGCCUACCAAGCCGACGAUCAGUAGCCGACCUGAGAGGGUGACCGGCCACAUUGGGACUGAGACACGGCCCAGACUCCUACGGGAGGCAGCAGUGGGGAAUAUUGCACAAUGGAGGAAACUCUGAUGCAGCGACGCCGCGUGAAGGAUGAAGUAUUUCGGUAUGUAAACUUCUAUCAGCAGGGAAGAAAAUGACGGUACCUGACUAAGAAGCCCCGGCUAACU
rnacentral:rRNA from 1 species